GGUUUGAUGGUGUAGAGGUAGAUUAGGCUGCUAUCGUCUGGCCUCAGUUUCAGGUUCGAUUCCUGAACAGAUCC